UACGAAGGGUGCUAUCGUUGCUCGGAAUUACUGGGCGUAAAGCGCACGUAGGCGGUUUCUUAAGUCGGUGGUGAAAUCCUGGAGCUCAACUCCAGAACUGCCUUCGAUACUGGGAAACUUGAGUUCGGGAGAGGUGAGUGGAACUGCGAGUGUAGAGGUGAAAUUCGUAGAUAUUCGCAAGAACACCAGUGGCGAAGGCGACUCACUGGACAUGUAUUGACGCUGAGGUGCGAAAGCGUGGGGAGCAAACAGG
rnacentral:rRNA from 1 species